rnacentral:rRNA from 1 species
UAAUCAACGCUGGCGGCGUGCCUAACACAUGCAAGUCGAACGAGAAAGUGGAGCAAUCCAUGAGUAAAGUGGCGCACGGGUGAGUAACACGUGACUAACCUACCCUGGAGUGGGGGAUAACUGAGGGAAACCUUAGCUAAUACCGCAUAAUACCUACGGGUCAAAGGAGCAAUUCGCUUCAGGAGGGGGUCGCGGCCGAUUAGUUAGUUGGCAGGGUAAUGGCCUACCAAGACGAUGAUCGGUAUCCGGCCUGAGAGGGCGCACGGACACACUGGAACUGAAACACGGUCCAGACUCCUACGGGAGGCAGCAGUGGGGAAUUUUGCGCAAUGGGGGAAACCCUGACGCAGCAACGCCGCGUGGAGGAUGAAGUCCUUCGGGACGUAAACUCCUUUCGAUCGGGACGAUUAUGACGGUACCGGAAGAAGAAGC